GAUGAAGAACGUAGCGAAAUGCGAUAAGUAGUGUGAAUUGCAGAAUUCCGUGAAUCAUCGAAUCUUUGAACGCACAUUGCGCCUCCUGGUAGUCCGGGAGGCAUGCCUGUUCGAGCGUCACCAAAUCCGACUCAAGCGGUUUUGCGCUUGGUCGUGGCGGAAGAGUCGGUCUGGUUGCCGUCUCCCCUCCGAAAAUCAACGGCGGAAAGUCACUGGCAGUCAGCGUAGUAGUAUCGUUCGCCGAACAUCCAGUGGCAUUCCUGCCGACGUACCCCCACAAUUCUCGUGAUUGACCUCGGAUCAGGUAGGGAUACCCGCUGAACUUAAGCAUAUCAAUAAGCGGAGGA
rnacentral:misc_RNA from 1 species